UACGUAGGAGGCAAGCGUUGUCCGGAGUUACUGGGCGUAAAGGGCCCGCAGGCGGUGGAGUAAGUUUGGAGUGACAGUUCCCAGCUUAACCGGGAAAGGACUUCGAAAACUGCUCGACUUGAGGACUGGAGAGGAAGGCGGAAUUCCGGGUGGAGCGGUGAAAUGCGUAGAGAUCCGGAGGAACACCGACGGCGAAGGCAGCCUUCUGGAAAGUACCUGACGCUGAGGGCGAAAGCUAGGGAGGCAA
rnacentral:rRNA from 1 species